UAGAGCGGCGAACGGGUGAGUAACGCGUACGAAACCUACCUUUAAGAGAGGAAUAGCCCUGGGAAACUGGGAGUAAUGCCUCAUAGUAUUCAUUUACCGCAUGGUUUAUGGAUUGAAAGCUCCGGCGGAUAGAGAUGGGCACGCGCAAGAUUAGCUAGUUGGUGAGGUAACGGCUCACCAAGGCGAUGAUCGUUUAGGGGGCCUGAGAGGGUGAUCCCCCACACUGGUACUGAGACACGGACCAGACUCCGUACGGGAGGCAGCAGGUGGGGAAUAUUGCACAAUGGACGAAAGUCUGAUGCAGCAACGCCGCGUGGAGGAUGACACAUUUCGGUGCGUAAACUCCUUUUAUAUGAGAAGAUAAUGACGGUAUUAUAUGAAUAAGCACCGGCUAACUCCGUG
rnacentral:rRNA from 1 species